AAAAAGGGUCUGUUGGCUAAAUAUGCCACUCUGCCUGCGUGGCAAAUGCUGUAUGGCUAUUAAGACAUAUGGCCGACAUAAUUUUGUGGAACUUUAUCGGGUUGGCUCCUUGACCGACCCUCAAAA
rfam:Solanum lycopersicum cultivar Heinz 1706 chromosome 6, whole genome shotgun sequence.